GAUGAACGCUCGCGGCAGGCUUAAUACAUGCAAGUCGUGGGGCAGCAGGACUGUAGCACUCCAGUUGCUGGCGACCGGCAAACGGGUGCGGAACACGUACGCAACUUACCCUGAACUGGGGGAUAGCCCGGGGAAACCCGGAUUAAUACCCCGUAAUAUAAUGGAGUGGCAUCACUUUAUUAUUAAAGCUCCGGCGGUUCGGGAUGGGCGUGCGGCUGAUUAGGUAGUUGGUUGAGGUAACGGCUCACCAAGCCUACGAUCAGUAACUGGUGUGAGAGCACGACAAGUCACAAGGGCACUGAGAAACGGGCCCGACUCCUACGGGAGGCAGCAGUAAGGAAUAGUGGGCAAGGGAGGCAACUCUGACCCAGCCAUGCCGCGUGGAGGAGGAAGGCCCUCUGGGUGGUAAACUUCUUUUAUAGGGGACGAAACCUGUGUAUUCUUACGCAGUUGACGGUACCCGAGGAAUAAGCACCGGCUAACUCCGUG
rnacentral:rRNA from 1 species